CACACGAAAGCUUUUAGGGCCUGUUUACAUGGAGGUAGGGUGACCCUAUCAGGAGGGUUACCCUAGCAAGCGGGUCAGAAAAUAGCGAGCGUUUACAUGAGGAGGGUGACCCUACUGCUAGGGCUAUGUUGCCGGAUAGGGUAACCCUACCUAUGCGUGGUCGCUAAGCGGUCUGUAUUAGAUAAAUGGCGCCGAAACGCAAAGUUUUAGCGGCAAGUUGUGCAAUUCUAUUUAUUGGGCCUUUGCUUGCUGCAUUUCAAUGUUGUGGUCUGUUAUUUCCGAGGUUAUUUCAAUAUCGUGGUCUGUUAUUUCAAUGUUGUGGUCUAUUACUCGCAUUGCGUAAAUAAGCGUAAUGUAUUCCUUGAUAUAGUCCAACACAACAGUUUUUCGACAUGUUCGGCUGACCAAGAGCAUUUAUUUUGUUUUUUUGACGUCGAUGAGGAUGCGCCGGAAUUUUGCUUCCUUUUCGCCGUCUUUGAGGACUUUGACAAUUUGUUAUCGAAACAACAUCAUUCCGUUCAUUCGCAGCGUUCUCGUCCAAAGUCAAAGCUUCGUUCUAUGCCUCUGCUUACUUAUUUGUAAAUUGCUUAUCCUUUUUAUUUUCUGGUGUCGUUUAAAAUGCUCGCCAGGCUGAUAUGUUCAUAUGUAUAAUCUAGCGACGCCAUCCUUGUUUGUCUGUCACAGUAGGACGUACAAAACAUGACCCGCUUGCUAGGGUAACCCUACCUGACGCGUUUACAUGGCUUAUGUAAACAAAAAGAUAGCCCUGCUGCUAGGGUCACCCUAUCUGUUUGAUAGGGUAACCCUACCCCUAGGGUAACCCUAGCGCGCAUGUAAACGCU